AAAGAAAAAAAAAAAGAACAUAUAUUAAUAUAUUCAGUUCAUCAAAACAGUCCCUGAAUACACCUCUGUGCAGAACUUGUGCGAGCCUCUGGGGACCCAGGGCUGGUCAGGCUGGCUGGGCAGAAGGGGAUGAAAACAUUGCCUUAUACACACUUGUAGAAUAUGUCGCAAUGGGAGAAAUCUUCCCAUAGCUUCUCAUGAGUCCAGUGAAUUAGGCAGGGCAGGUAUCAUUGUCCCUAUUUUACAGAUCAGGAAAUUGAGGUCCAGUGAGGUGUCUUGGCCAGGACACUCAGUCAGGACGUGACAUGAACACAGGACUGUCUGACUUCAAAUCCAGUGCUCCUUCCCCUGCAGUCCCCACCCCACUGACUGGGGGACAGUGCUCCAGGCAGCUGGAAUGGGACACGGUUUGUGUGGCAGCGAGAUAUCCAGGCUCUCCUCCUUCCAGAUCUAAGGAUUCAAACCCAGGUCUGCUUGACUAGGAAGGCCGGCCCUCUCCAUGGUGCCAGGACAACUCUUUGGAGAAGAUGCCCCUCUCUCUGCCUGCCUGAAUCUUCUCCGUCCACAAAGGCCUGCUCCAUCCUCCCUCCUCCAGGAAGCUUUCCCUGACUGUCCCCGGGCCCAGCCAGGGUGUCUGGGGGGCUGGAGAGACCCACAGAGCCCUGAUCACCGUGGCUGGCCCGUAAGUGUGGCGACUGAGUCCCAGUCUGGAGGCACAGCUGGACUUUCCCAGAGAGAACUGAGGCAUUGUGGGAAUUUCCCAGCUGUGACCCCAGGACCCUGAUUGCCCAGAAUGGCUCCAAGUUCACAUAUCUAGGGACCGUCACCAAGACUCCUGUAUCUAUAUUAAACUCGGUAAAUGUGAUGACCCUGGAAAUGUGCCCUCAGCAUCACAACCGCACUCUUGGCCCCUCCAGAAUUCAGAGCCACUUUGGGAGUCCACC
rnacentral:lncRNA from 10 species